rnacentral:rRNA from 1 species
GACGAACGCUGGCGGCGUGCCUAAUACAUGCAAGUCGAGCGCAGGAAACUGACGGAACUCUUCGGAGGGAAGGCAGUGGAAUGAGCGGCGGACGGGUGAGUAACACGUAAGGAACCUGCCUCAAGGAUUGGGAUAACUCCGAGAAAUCGGAGCUAAUACCGGAUAGUUCAACGGACCGCAUGGUCCGCUGAUGAAAGGCGCUUCGGCGUCACCUUGAGAUGGCCUUGCGGUGCAUUAGCUAGUUGGUGGGGUAACGGCCCACCAAGGCGACGAUGCAUAGCCGACCUGAGAGGGUGAUCGGCCACACUGGGACUGAGACACGGCCCAGACUCCUACGGGAGGCAGCAGUAGGGAAUCUUCCACAAUGGACGAAAGUCUGAUGGAGCAACGCCGCGUGAGUGAUGAAGGUUUUCGGAUCGUAAAACUCUGUUGUAAGGGAAGAACACGUACGAGAGGAAAUGCUCGUACCUUGACGGUACCUUACGAGAAAGCCACGGCUAACUACGUGCCAGCCGCCGCAGUAAUAC